UACGUAGGGUGCAAGCGUUUGUUCGGAAUUAUUGGGCGUAAAGAGCUCGUAGGCGGUCUGUCGCGUCGGCUGUGAAAUCCCGAGGCUCAACCUCGGGUCUGCAGUCGAUACGGGCAAACUGGAGUACUGCAGGGGAGACUGGAAUUCCUGGUGUAGCGGUGAAAUGCGCAGAUAUCGGGAGGAACACCGGUGGCGAAGGCAGGUCUCUGGGCCAUUACUGACACUGAGAAGCGAAAGCAUGGGGAGCGAACAGG
rnacentral:rRNA from 1 species